AUAAUGGCGUUUUGGUUUAAAGGUUGAAUGAUAAAUUAUAAUAAAGCGAGAUGAUAUGAGAUGCCGAAUGUGAUUGACAAGUAAACAUUAUUGAUAAAAAUAUUGAAUACUUCUACUUGUAUUCGUUAAGCUCAAGAGCAAAGGGGAGCUAAAUCCGAUAAAGGGAAGGAAAAAGUGGUCGAAUAGCCGUUGAAGCCGUCCGACGACAUCCGAGAUUUUGCUCGUUAGCGAUCGGAUUCGGGAUCAUUAAAGUCGAAGUCAUCUACACUAUCAAAGCCUCCAUUUUGGUAUAAUUUUGGUUGAACUUUGAAAUGGCAUGUAUAGGACUACCCUAUUGUUGAAGGUCAUGUACCUUUCGGUUUUGUGUAAGCUUGGAUAGCCAUGCGAAAAUGGCUUAUAUACGUUUUUAGUAUGAUUCUAUAAUCGUUUGUAUGAUGAUCAUUAUGGGGUAUGGAAUUGUUUGAAAAGAUUAGCCAUUGGAAUGGUUAAUCGUGAUCACACUUUGUGCUAUGUAUGCAAAAAGGGCCAAUUGAAUCGUGGAAAUCAUGAAA